GACGAACGCUGGCGGGGGGAGGAACACAGGCAAGUCGAACGGAAAGGCCCUGCUUUUGUGGGGUGCUCGAGUGGCGAACGGGUGAGUAACACGUGAGUAACCUGCCCUUGACUUUGGGAUAACUUCAGGAAACUGGGGCUAAUACCGGAUAGGAGCUCCUGCUGCAUGGUGGGGGUUGGACCGUUUCGGCGGUUGGGGAUGGACUCGCGGCUUAUCAGCUUGUUGGUGGGGUAGUGGCUUACCAAGGCUUUGACGGGUAGCCGGCCUGAGAGGGUGACCGGCCACAUUGGGACUGAGAUACGGCCCAGACUCCUACGGGAGGCAGCAGUGGGGAAUAUUGCACAAUGGGCGGAAGCCUGAUGCAGCAACGCCGCGUGCGGGAUGACGGCCUUCGGGUUGUAAACCGCUUUCGCCUGUGACGAAGCGUGAGUGACGGUAAUGGGUAAAGAAGCACCGGCUAACUACGUG
rnacentral:rRNA from 1 species